UACAGAGGCCUCGAGCGUUAGGCGGAAUCACUGGGCUUAAAGCGUGUGUAGGCGGACUUCUAAGUACCUUGUGAAAUCCCACGGCUCACCCGUGGAACUGCUCGGUAUACUGGUCGUCUUGAGCCUUCUAGGGGCGAGUGGAACAAAUGGUGGAGUGGUGAAAUGCGUAGAUAUCAUUUGGAACGCCAAUGGUGAAAACAACUCGCUGGGGAAGUGCUGACGCUGAGACACGAAAGCCAGGGGAGCGAACGGG
rnacentral:rRNA from 1 species